AAGCACUGACCCUUCCCAGACGUCGGGAAAAGAAGCAGCAGCUCUGGAACAGAACACAAACUCUUCACUGAGUGGCAGCUUUGAUGCAUUGCCCUCUUGACGAUGCACCAAUAAAAACUAACAGACGGGAUACCCACACAGUGUAACACGGCACAGCCACCGGAGCGCCGAUGGUAUCGGCUGAGGCCAUGCAUGCUAUUUUGCUAUGUACCUUUUCCUGAAGCAAGGCUGGGGAGCAAGAAGAUUAUGACGACUACUGGAAAAAUCAAUGCAGACCCACACCACUGUGGAAGGAGUAACAGGAAACCCUGGGGUUUCUCAGAACUCCCUGAUUGUCCUGGGAGAUGUGUUGAACAAUUUAAGGCACCCUUUUAGCGAGGUACAGUAUAUUCACCACUAUUAAUCUGACUGUGCUGGUAAGAGCAAAGCUGAAUAGCUACUUUUACAGCUGAUUAUUUUUAGAAGUUAGAAUGGAGGAAGGAAUGGGAAAGAGCACUGUGGUACUCUGCACGAAGAAAAUGAAGGAAGGAGAAAGGCUUGCUGAAAGGAAGACUUUGGAGGAUCAGCAAGAGUAYACGAAGCAGAGGCCACAGGACGAUGUAAAGCGCGAGCUGCUAGAAGGAAGCAGAGCAAGAACGGGCCGGACACAAGAAGCAGGGAGAAGAGGGAGGGGGAAAAUACUGACGCCAUGUGUAACUGGCGCACAGAAACUCUGCGUAAGUGUCAACCUCUUAGCUCUGAGGUCUUGUGAAUCAUCACUACCAAGCAAACAGCCUUCAACUCUAUACAGGGAAUGAUGUGCAAUCCAGUGGUUUUUCCUUCUUCUACACUGCUCAAAACCUUUAGCUUGUCAUAGCCAUUUAACAUUGCUAUUAGGUGUUACCUUUCGUGAUUUCCCAACUGCCUGAAGCUGAGUUGCCUAUAAAGCAAACAGUGCUCUUUGUUUAUGUGACGGUUAUUCAUUCAAUAGUCAGGUGAAGUGUUGGAAAAUAAACACCGGUGGUUGGUUUUGAACGCA
rnacentral:lncRNA from 1 species